UACGAAGGGGGCUAGCGUUGUUCGGAAUUACUGGGCGUAAAGCGCACGUAGGCGGACUAUUAAGUCAGGGGUGAAAUCCCGGGGCUCAACCCCGGAACUGCCUUUGAUACUGGUAGUCUCGAGUCCGGAAGAGGUGAGUGGAAUUCCGAGUGUAGAGGUGAAAUUCGUAGAUAUUCGGAGGAACACCAGUGGCGAAGGCGGCUCACUGGACUGGUACUGACGCUGAUGCGCGAAAGCGUGGGGAGCAAACGGG
rnacentral:rRNA from 1 species